UAAAAAGGUAGGCUAUAUGCUAAGCCAGCGAAUUCAUGCUUCGUCGAAAGAUUCAUCUCCUUUUUAA
rnacentral:tRNA from 1 species